rnacentral:rRNA from 1 species
AUUGAACGCUGGCGGCAGGCCUAACACAUGCAAGUCGAACGAGUGGCGGACGGGUGAGUAAUGUCUGGGAACCUGCCCGAUGGAGGGGAAUAACUACUGGAAACGGUAGCUAAUACCGCAUACCAUCGGAUGUGCCCAGAUGGGAUUAGCUAGUAGGUGGGGUAAUGGCUGACCUAGGCGACGAUCCCUAGCUGGACUGAGAGGAUGACCAGCCACACUGGAACUGAGACACGGUCCAGACUCCUAAGGAAGGAAGCGGUGGGGAAUAUUGCACAAUGGGGGCAAGCCGAGUGAAGAAAUGACGGUUGUAUGAAGAAGGGCUUCGGGUUGUAAAGUACUUUCAGCGGGGAGGCGUUAACCGCAGAAGAAGAGACGGCUAACUCCGUGCCAGCAGACGCGGUAAUAC